ensembl:lncRNA
GUGGAAGGAAACCGUGACCUAGGACAAGCUGAUGGCAUAAGAUCCUGUUUCCCUUCAUCUGCGGCAACAAUGGAGGCCUUUAUCAACCUGCUUCUCAGACAGUCACACCUGGGGACUGACCAGCAGCAGCAGCAGUGUCUGAUGUUUCCCUCCCCUCCUCAGUGUUUUUGGGUUAUGAUCAGCGUGGAUCAGGAUUCAAGUGAUGAACAGCUUCAGAGCCUUAGGCUGUAAACAGGAUUACUAAAUCUCUGGAUGCUCUCCAGAUGUUGCUGCUUUGUUUGUUUCAGAACUGUCUUCUCCUC